CAGUGCCUCCUGGAGACUCGCGACUUCGGUGAUCUUCUCCUUAAGGUGGGUGGCCUCGGCCAGGCAAUCUUCCUCCGCCUGGGCGGCCUCCUUCCUAGCAUUAUUCAUCGCCUCGAUGUUGGCGAUGAGCUGGUGUCCAAUCUGCAAGAGCGGUCAGGGAGUUAAUAUAAAAGCUGAAGAAUAAGCUAAGCAAAGAGACGAAAAGAAGAAAGGAGUAAAUUGACCUACCUCGAGAAAGGACCCCAGAGAGUCCCAGAC
rnacentral:lncRNA from 1 species